rnacentral:rRNA from 1 species
UUGACCUCGGAUCAGGUAGGAAUACCCGCUGAACUUAAGCAUAUAGG